AUUGAACGCUGGCGGCAUGCCUUACACAUGCAAGUCGAACGGUAGCGGGCCUUCGGGUGCCGACGAGUGGCGAACGGGUGAGUAAUGUAUCGGAACGUACCUUUCAGUGGGGGAUAACGUAGCGAAAGUUGCGCUAAUACCGCAUAUUCUGUGAGCAAGAAAGCAGGGGAUCGCAAGACCUUGCGCUGAUUGAGCGGCCGAUAUCAGAUUAGCUAGUUGGUGAGGUAAAGGCUCACCAAGGCGACGAUCUGUAGCGGGUCUGAGAGGAUGAUCCGCCACACUGGAACUGAGACACGGUCCAGACUCCUACGGGAGGCAGCAGUGGGGAAUUUUGGACAAUGGGGGCAACCCUGAUCCAGCCAUGCCGCGUGAGUGAAGAAGGCCUUCGGGUUGUAAAGCUCUUUCGGCCGGGAAGAAAUCGUAUCAGCUAAUACCUGGUGCGGAUGACGGUACCGGCAUAAGAAGCACCGGCUAACUACGUGCCAGCAGCCGCCGUAAAAC
rnacentral:rRNA from 1 species